rnacentral:rRNA from 1 species
AUUGAACGCUGGCGGCAGGCUUAACACAUGCAAGUCGAACGAGAACGGGUUAUAGCUUGCUAUAAUUGUCAGCUAAGUGGCGCACGGGUGAGUAAUGUAUAGGUAAUAUGCCUCUUACUAAGGGAUAACAAAUGGAAACGUUUGCUAAUACCUUAUACUCCUUAUUAACAGAAGUUAAUAAGGGAAAGAUUUAUUGGUAAGAGAUUAGCCUGUAUUGUAUCAGUUAGUUGGUGAGGUAAUGGCUUACCAAGACUAUGACACAUAACUGGUUUGAGAGGAUGAUCAGUCACACUGGAACUGAGACACGGUCCAGACUCCUACGGGAGGCAGCAGUGGGGAAUAUUGCACAAUGGACGAAAGUCUGAUGCAGCAACGCCGCGUGGAGGAUGACACAUUUCGGUGCGUAAACUCCUUUUAUAUGAGAAGAUAAUGACGGUAUUAUAUGAAUAAGCACCGGCUAACUCCGUGCCAGCCGCCGCGGUAA